CCAUUGUUGGUAUCGCUUCCGUUGAGAUGGAAACGAUACUUUUUUAUUAUAAGUGACAGUUCAUGUCAAUUUGAUGAUUGUUUGACCUGUUACCAACCCAUUAGUGAAAACAACUGAAUUAUCAAAAAAAAUAUUUUUUUGAGAUAUUCAUUACAAAAAAUAUUGUACCUAAUUUGUUUCGCUGCGCUCGUGCAGCAAACAAAGUGCUCAUGAGGGGAUAUUGCACUUUCCGAACUCGCAGCAAGUUUUGCAGAGGCAUUUUAAACUAAACCGAUGGCUAUGAAGCGAUAAACUUGAAGAAUUUUCUGUACACAGGAUAUGGCCUUUGUUACCAAGAAAAAUGAACAUACAUCGAUAAUUAUUAAUUCCUGUAGCUGGACAAACUGGUAUAACAGAGUAAAAAUUGUCACUAUCAGUUACCGACAUACUCGUAUUCUGCCGUUACUAACAACAGGAAAUACUUCCUUUUUGCAUUAUUUUUUCGCAUCCUAUCUAAGGCAAGUUGCAGAUUUUUUCUAAUUAAUUUAAUUUAUUCGAGCAAUUUGUUCCUAGUCUGUAUCUGCUCAGCAUCGCAAUAAACUCGCUAGGAAAUGGCUUAAUUUUGAUUUAAAAAUCGCUAUAUUUCCUGUUAUGGAUCAUUAUUUCUGUCAAAAAUAAGAUUUACUAUAUUACAAAAAAACAUAAAUGAUCAA